AACCUCCGCAAUGUACGAAAGUGCGACGGGGGGAUCCCAAGUGUUAUGCUUUUUUGUAUAACUUUUCAUUAGUGUAAAAAGCUUUUAGAAUAAGAGCUGGGCAAGACCGGUGCCAGCCGCCGCGGUAACACCGGCAGCUCUAGUGGUAGCAGUUUUUAUUGGGCCUAAAGCGUCCGUAGCCGGUUUAAUAAGUCUCUGGUGAAAUCCUGUAGCUUAACUGUGGGAAUUGCUGGAGAUACUAUUAGACUUGAGACCGGGAGAGGUUAGAGGUACUCCCAGGGUAGAGGUGAAAUUCUGUAAUCCUGGGAGGACCGCCUGUUGCGAAGGCGUCUAACUGGAACGGUUCUGACGGUGAGGGACGAAAGUUAGGGGCGCGAACCGGAUUAGAUACCCGGGUAGUCCUAACCGUAACGAUGCGGACUUGGUGUUGGGGUGGCUUUGAGCUGCUCCAGUGCCGAAGGGAAGCUGUUAAGUCCGCCGCCUGGGAAGUACGGUCGCAAGACUGAAACUUAAAGGAAUU
rnacentral:rRNA from 1 species